rnacentral:rRNA from 1 species
UUGAACGCUGGCGGAAUGCUUUACACAUGCAAGUCGAGCGGCAGCGCGGGGGCAACCCUGGCGGCGAGCGGCGAACGGGUGAGUAACAUAUCGGAACGUACCCAGACGUGGGGGAUAACACAUCGAAAGAUGUGCUAAUACCGCAUACGACCUGAGGGUGAAAGGGGGGGAUCGCAAGACCUCUCGCGUUUGGAGCGGCCGAUAUCGGAUUAGCUAGUUGGUGAGGUAAAGGCUCACCAAGGCGACGAUCCGUAGCUGGUCUGAGAGGACGACCAGCCACACUGGAACUGAGACACGGUCCAGACUCCUACGGGAGGCAGCAGUUGGGAAUUUUGGACAAUGGGCGCAAGCCUGAUCCAGCCAUGCCGCGUGCAGGAUGAAGGCCUUCGGGUUGUAAACUGCUUUUGUACGGAACGAAAAGACUCCUUCUAAUAAAGGGGGUCCAUGACGGUACCGUAAGAAUAAGCACCGGCUAACUACGU